UGAAGUUUGAGAGCAGAAGGAUCUUAUCUAAGUAUUUCUAAUGAUGAUCUUUGUUUGCAGUAAGUAAGAGUUGCGGUUCUUACCUCUGAUUUAAACAUAUCCCACAGUGUUUUUAAAUUUUUGGUCUGAUAUUUUGACAGUAGGCUGUAAUUGUUGGACUAUAUACAUGGUGUAGGAAUUUACAGUAAAUUUAGAAACAAUCGAAAUGUUUAUAGUUUGCAGAAACGGUACUUGUAUAUUUCUAUGGAGGAACAUUUUGGCAAAUAAUAUGUGGCUUGCAGAGGAUAGAAGGAUGGUUUUUACCAUAUGGAUUAAAUAGGACUUUUGAAGUAUUCCUAAUAUGUGGAUUAAAUAAGAUAUCCAAAUGCCUUUUACGUUAAAUGAAAAAGGGCAGUGUAAUAAUUCUAAUAUAUGUGGAUUGAGAUUGAUGGAUAAUUUGUUAUAAAGCAAGCAUAUAUUCAGAAAAAUUUAUUUUGGAUAUAUGUGGAUUAAUGAAUUGGUAUUCAUCAAGGAUAUAUUCUUUUUAUCUUUAUUUCUACUUCGAGCGGCCAGUGUGUUUUUUUAAACAGUUUAACUUAAAGUAUAUGUAUAAUUAUUAUGUUUAUUGUAUUAUGAUUCUUUAUAUGAGUAAUAUGCAUCAUAAUAAAUUUUAUUACCAAUA